rnacentral:rRNA from 1 species
UACGAAGGGGGCUAGCGUUGUUCGGAUUCACUGGGCGUAAAGGGCGCGUAGGCGGCGUGACAAGUCACUUGUGAAAUCUCCGGGCUUAACCCGGAGCGGCCAAGUGAUACUGUCGUGCUAGAGUGCGGAAGGGGCUACUGGAAUUCUCGGUGUAGCGGUGAAAUGCGUAGAUAUCGAGAGGAACACCUGCGGCGAAGGCGGGUAGCUGGGCCGACACUGACGCUGAGGCGCGAAAGCCAGGGGAGCGAACGGG